UACGUAGGGUCCGAGCGUUGUCCGGAAUUAUUGGGCGUAAAGGGCUCGUAGGCGGUCUGUUGCGUCGGGAGUGAAAACUUACAGCUUAACUGUGAGCGUGCUUUCGAUACGGGCAGACUUGAGGCAUUCAGGGGAGAACGGAAUUCCUGGUGUAGCGGUGAAAUGCGCAGAUAUCUGGAGGAACACCGGUGGCGAAGGCGGCAUCCUGGACCGGUAUUGACGCUGAGGCGCGAAAGCCAGGGGAGCAAACGGG
rnacentral:rRNA from 1 species